UUGAGCUAACCGGUCASUAAUGAACCGUGAGGCUUAACCUUACAACGCCGAAG
rnacentral:rRNA from 1 species